rnacentral:tRNA from 4 species
GCCGCAAUCGUCUAGUGGUUAGGACAUUAGUUUGUGGCACUGAAAACGGCGGUUCGAUUCCGCCUUGUGGCA